rfam:Aedes aegypti strain Liverpool supercont1.1443 genomic scaffold, whole genome shotgun sequence.
ACGCUUACCCCAUGUUCUGCUGAUGUACUCAGCAACAUGCCCAGGUAGUCCAGGUCUUUGAGACUACGUGCGGUGUCAGCCGCAUGACCUGCCCGUUCGCCAGCAUCAUUUUUGCGAACACCCAUCAGCCGGUUUCGGUGGUGGCGAUGC